rnacentral:rRNA from 1 species
ACCGAAGCUACGGCUGCAUACUUUGUAUGCGGGGUAGGGGAGCGUUCUGUAAGCGGCUGAAGGUGAACUGUAAGGUUUGCUGGACGUAUCAGAAGUGCGAAUGCUGACAUGAGUAACGAUAAUGCGGGUGAAAAACCCGCACGCCGGAAGACCAAGGGUUCCUAUCCCAUGUUAAUCAGGGUAGGGUGAGUCGACCCCUAAGGCGAGGCUGAAGAGCGUAGUCGAUGGGAAACGGGUUAAUAUUCCCGUACUUGGUAUAAAUGCGAUGGGGGACGGAGCAGGCUAGGCAAGCAUGGCGUUGGUUGUCCAUGUGAAAGGCUGUAGGCUGGUGACUUAGGAAAAUCCGGGUCGCUAAGGCUGAGAGUCGAGACGAGCUACUACGGUAGUGAAGUUGUUGAUGCCCUACUUCCAGGAAAAGCCUCUAAGCUUCAGUUUAUAUCGAAUCGUACCCUAAACCGACACAGGUGGUCAGGUAGAGAAUACUAAGGCGCUUGAGAGAACUCGGGUGAAGGAACUAGGCAAAAUUGUACCGUAACUUCGGGAGAAGGUACGCUCUUACUUGUGAAGACUUCGCGUCGUAAGCAGGUGAGAGCCGCAGUGACCAGGUGGCUGGGACUGUUUAUUAAAAACACAGCACUGUGCAAAAUCGUAAGAUGACGUAUACGGUGUGACACCUGCCCGGUGCCGGAAGGUUAAUUGAUGGGGUUAGCUUAGGCGAAGCUCUUGAUCGAAGCCCCGGUAAACGGCGGCCGUAACUAUAACGGUCCUAAGGUAGCGAAAUUCCUUGUCGGGUAAGUUCCGACCUGCACGAAUGGUGUAACCAUGGCCACGCUGUCUCCACCCGAGACUCAGUGAAAUUGAAAUCGCAGUGAAGAUGCUGUGUACCCGCGGCUAGACGGAAAGACCCCGUGAACCUUUACUACAGCUUGGCACUGAACAUUGACCCUACAUGUGUAGGAUAGGUGGGAGGCUUUGAAGCGCAGUCGCUAGAUUGCGUGGAGCCGUCCUUGAAAUACCACCCUUGUAGUGUUGAUGUUCUAACUUAGGCCCCUAAUCGGGGUUGAGGACAGUGCCUGGUGGGUAGUUUGACUGGGGCGGUCUCCUCCCAAAGAGUAACGGAGGAGCACGAAGGUUGGCUAAGUACGGUCGGACAUCGUACGGUUAGUGUAAUGGUAGAAGCCAGCUUAACUGCGAGACAGACACGUCGAGCAGGUACGAAAGUAGGUCAUAGUGAUCCGGUGGUUCUGAAUGGAAGGGCCAUCGCUCAACGGAUAAAAGGUACUCCGGGGAUAACAGGCUGAUACCGCCCAAGAGUUCAUAUCGACGGCGGUGUUUGGCACCUCGAUGUCGGCUCAUCACAUCCUGGGGCUGAAGUCGGUCCCAAGGGUAUGGCUGUUCGCCAUUUAAAGUGGUACGCGAGCUGGGUUUAGAACGUCGUGAGACAGUUCGGUCCCUAUCUGCCGUGGGCGUUUGAGAAUUGAGAGGGGCUGCUCCUAGUACGAGAGGACCGGAGUGGACGAACCGCUGGUGUUCGGGUUGUCAUGCCAAUGGCAUUGCCCGGUAGCUACGUUCGGAAUCGAUAACCGCUGAAAGCAUCUAAGCGGGAAGCGAGCCUCGAGAUGAGUUCUCACUUUAACUUUAAGUUAACUGAAGGGCCGUUGAAGACUACAACGUUGAUAGGCGAGAUGUGGAAGUGGUGUGAGCCAUUGAGCUAACUCGUACUAAUUACCCGUGAGGCUUAACCAUACAACGCCAAAGUGGUUU